UACGGAGGGGGCUAGCGUUGUUCGGAAUUAUUGGGCGUAAAGCGCACGUAGGCGGUCUGUCACGUCGGCUGUGAAAUCCCGAGGCUCAACCUCGGGUCUGCAGUCGAUACGGGCAAACUAGAGUAUUGCAGGGGAGACUGGAAUUCCUGGUGUAGCGGUGAAAUGCGCAGAUAUCAGGAGGAACACCGGUGGCGAAGGCGGGGUCUGCUGGGCAAUAACUGACGCUGAGGAAGCGAAAGGCGUGGGGAGCGAACAGG
rnacentral:rRNA from 1 species